rnacentral:rRNA from 1 species
UACAGAGGGUGCGAGCGUUAAUCGGAGUUACUGGGCGUAAAGGGCGCGUAGGCGGUCAGCACAAGUCAGUUGUGAAAUCUCCGGGCUUAACCCGGAAAGGUCAACUGAUACUGUGCGACUAGAGUGCGGAAGGGGCAACUGGAAUUCUCGGUGUAGCGGUGAAAUGCGUAGAUAUCGAGAGGAACACCUGCGGCGAAGGCGGGUUGCUGGGCCGACACUGACGCUGAUGCGCGAAAGCUAGGGGAGCAAACGGG